GCUAGGCUUUGUGGUGCGUGCCUGUAGUCCCAGCUACUUGGGAGGCUGAGGCAGGAGGAUUGCUUGAGGCCAGGAGUUCAAGGCUGCAGUGAUCUAUGAUCGCAGCACUGCACUCUAGCCUGGGUGCCAGAGUGAGACCCUGUCUCAA
ensembl:misc_RNA Metazoa_SRP Metazoan signal recognition particle RNA